AAACGUAUAUCCAAUGGAUUUUGAUAGAUGUCAAUCAAAACUUAACGUAAUUUUUGAUAUUCAAACAAAUAUUAAUAUUCAUUUUAAAGAAUCAAUAAAAAAAGUCUUUGUAAAAUCAUAAAUGCUAUUAAUAAUUUAUUUAUUUUAUAAAUAUUUUUCCCGUGGUUUCCACGGGUUGUAAGCUAGUAAACUAAGCCUCAAACUCUUCCCAUCUCCAUCGUCGGUAACUCAAUCCACAGGAAGUUCACUCGUCUCACUAGAAUUCAAUGCUGAAAUUUUUUGAGGAAUCAGAAAAGAUAAUCACGCAAUUGAGUUUUUUUGGGGGGGAGGGGGAUUUAAACUCCUCAUUCGAUUCAAUCAUGUAUGGGAUUCAAGAAGUUGAUAUUGUUUUCUAUUGUUGGUUGGAAACGCUUCUUCUCCAUCUAACAUCAAUAAUCCAUUACAGUUAUGUGUCCAGAUUUAUGCACUCCCGGAUCUUGUGGCCCAAAGAACUUCACUUUCAACACGAGUCUUCUUCACGAACCAUAUUUAAUGGUUUAAAUAUUUGUGCUCCAUGUGGAUUCAACUACUGAAAUGGCUUUUUCACCUCGAGUUCAUGUACUCAAAACAGCGAUAGAUUCUGCACUUCAUGUUCUUUUCGUUAAAAUAUUUCUUGUUGGAAAUUUGUAACCUGAAGCCACAACUUUAACAUCAACGGUUACAUCAAUAACACAAAAUUGAUAAUCAUAAUCGGUUCAUCCAUUUUUGGAUUCUUGUUAAUUUUAAUCCACUUAUGUAUAGUUCUCUGUUUCCUCCUCAAAAAGGGUAAACAAAAGAAGAAAUUUCAGGAGAGAAAAAAACCAACGCACCGGUAUCAUGCCAUGGUAGGUCUUCGUCGCACCAUGUCCAGGUCUCACUCAAGUUUUCUGACUUUCAAAGCUCAAAGACACCAAACGACCAUCUUCAGGUGGCUUCUCACCGUUGAACUGACAGCUUCAGUUAAAAAUCGCGAUGGAAGUUGUAAAAGCUCUUGCAUUUCUCCACACUUAAAUCAACCCUCUGCUCAUCAUGAUGUGAAAAGUUCAAAUAUUCUCAUAGAUUCCUAUUGGGGUUGUGUAGCUAGGUUCAUUCGAACAAGAUGAUUGAAAACAUGAAGACUGCUUUAAUGUGGGAGGCUUGGAACACAGAAAUGAUUAGGAUUUAGUUAAAUCCGAAAAAAAAUGAGAGGAGUUGUGAGUAAAUAGUUACUGUAGCAGACUUGGAUUUUGGAGGUUAGACAGUAAGAGAUUGGUGCCGGUUCUUUGGUGGGGAGAAUUUCCGAUGAACACAGUCGGAAGAAAGAAGAAACAGGAACAGUUGUCUUGGGAAGACAAAAGGAUAACAAAG
rnacentral:lncRNA from 1 species